UACGUAGGGUGCAAGCGUUGUCCGGAAUUAUUGGGCGUAAAGAGCUCGUAGGCGGUCUGUCACGUCGGCUGUGAAAACCCGAGGCUCAACCUCGGGCCUGCAGUCGAUACGGGCAGACUAGAGUUCGGUAGGGGAGACUGGAAUUCCUGGUGUAGCGGUGAAAUGCGCAGAUAUCAGGAGGAACACCGGUGGCGAAGGCGGGUCUCUGGGCCGAAACUGACGCUGAGACGCGAAAGCGUGGGGAGCAAACAGG
rnacentral:rRNA from 1 species